rnacentral:rRNA from 1 species
GAGGUAGGAGUGCUGUUGGCAAAUCCGCAGCACGAUCUGAAGACGUGACGGGUACCGAACAUAAGUAGGGAAGUCCAGGCCCCUGGCUGUCAAGAAAAGCCGCUAUUGUUUUAUAUGUGCCCGUUCCGCAAACCGACACAGGUGGAUGAGGAGAGAAUCCUAAGGCCGACGGGAGAAGUACUGUUAAGGAACUCGGCAAAAUGACUCCGUAACUUCGGGAGAAGGAGUGCCAUGAGAGUGGCCGCAGAGAAAUGGCCCAAGCAACUGUUUAGCAAAAACACAGGUCUAUGCAAAACCGCAAGGUGAAGUAUAUGGGCUGACGCCUGCCCGGUGCUGGAAGGUUAAGGGGAGAGGUUAGCGCAAGCGAAGCUUUGAACUUAAGCCCCAGUAAACGGCGGCCGUAACUAUAACGGUCCUAAGGUAGCGAAAUUCCUUGUCGGGUAAGUUCCGACCCGCACGAAAGGCGUAAUGAUUUGGGCACUGUCUCAACGAUACACCCGGUGAAAUUGAAAUACCAGUGAAGAUGCUGGUUACCUGCGCCAGGACGGAAAGACCCCAUGGAGCUUUACUCCAGUUUGAUACUGGGAUUCGGCAUGGUAUGUACAGGGUAGGUGGGAGACUGAGAAGGUAUGACGUCAGUUGUACCGGAGUCGCUGUUGGGAUACCACCCUUACCAUGUUGGAUUUCUAACCUGUGGCCGUAAGCCGGUCAGGGGACAAUGUCAGGCGGGGAGUUUGACUGGGGCGGUCGCCUCCGAAAGGGUAUCGGAGGCGCUCAAAGGUUCCCUCAGAAUGGUUGGAAACCAUUCGAAGAGUGCAAAGGCAGAAGGGAGCUUGACUGUGACACCGACGGGUGGAGCAGGUACGAAAGUAGGACUUAGUGAUCCGGUGGUAUAAAGUGGGAUUGCCAUCGCUCAACGGAUAAAAGCUACCCUGGGGAUAACAGGCUUAUCUCUCCCAAGAGUUCACAUCGACGGAGUGGUUUGGCACCUCGAUGUCGGCUCAUCGCAUCCUGGAGCUGUAGCAGGUUCCAAGGGUUGGGCUGUUCGCCCAUUAAAGCGGUACGCGAGCUGGGUUCAGAACGUCGUGAGACAGUUCGGUCCCUAUCCGGCGCAGGCGGAGGAAAUUUGAUAGGAGCUGUCCUUAGUACGAGAGGACCGGGAUGGACGGACCGCUGGUGUAUCUGUUGUACUGCCAAGUGCAUAGCAGAGUAGCCAAGUCUGGAAGGGAUAAACGCUGAAGGCAUCUAAGCGUGAAGCCCCCCUAAAGAUAAGAUUUCCCAUACCAUAAGGUAGUAAGACCCCUUGAAGACGACGAGGUAGAUAGGGCAGAGGUGGAAGUAUGGUAACGUAUGGAGCUGACUGUUACUAAUCGGUCGAGGCUUUAACC